rnacentral:lncRNA from 1 species
AAGCAUCAAAGAGGCAAUCCCGUUUCUGAGCAGCAAAAGGACUUUGCAGAGAUGUUUGUUUUAAUCGACCAUACAACAACGAAACCCUAAUCUGUAGAGGAUAAAAGGAGAAGGAAACGAAAUCAAAGGGGGGCGGAGAGAAAAAAAGAAGAGCACAAGAACAAAACCCUAGAAAACGAGCAAUCGGAGGCGGACCAAACCCACCAAAUCAAAACCCUAAAAUCCCAAAUCAAAAACCACCAACGAAAAACUUGGAAGCGGAAUUGAAACUUGAAAUCAAAGACAAACCUAUUUGGAAGAGUUGAAGGAGGAGGUUUGAGCUUCAUCACUGCCGUCUUCACCGCCGGAGGUGAGCCCUUUUGCUUCAACCUUGAUUUUUUUGUUUUUUUGUAUGAUUCUGAAGCGAUUAAGUGAAGCGCGAUCGAGAGAGAGGGAUUCUUGAGGGCGUGUUUGAGUGAGGUUAAGCGAAGGGUACGCGAGAGAGAGGUUUGAGAGAUGAUGAUUGAGCGAUUUUGAGAGAGAGAGGGUUGGACGCGAUUGAGAAGGGUGAGAGAUGAUGGGCGUUUUUUUUNNN